AUGGCUGCUGGAGACGGCGAGCCGGUGCUGCAGUCCAAGAGCGUGUGCGUGGUGGGGGGCGGCAUGGCCGGCCUGGCGGCGGCGCGCGAGCUGCGGCGGGAGGGACACGCCGUCACCGUCAUGGAGCGGAGCGGCGACGUCGGCGGGCAGUGGCUGUACGACCCCAGGACCGACGCCGAGGACCCGCUCGGCGCCGCGGUGCCGGUGCGCGUGCCCAGCAGCAUCUACGCCUGCCUCCGCCUCAUCACCCCGCGGGAGGCCAUGGGCUUCUCCGACUUCCAGUUCCUGCCCAGGGACGGCCCUGGCCGCGACCCGCGCCGCUUCCCAGCCCACCGCGAGCUGCACUGCUACCUCCGGGACUUCUGCAACGCCUUUGGCCUCAUGGACGCCGUCAGGCUCAACACCCGGGUCCUGCGCGUCGCCCUCGCGCCGACGUCGACGACCACGACGCGCCAGUGGGCGGUGAGGUCCGUGCGGCGCCUCGGCUGCACCGAGGAUGAUGAAGCGCAGGAGGAGGAGGAGGUGUUCGACGCCGUUGUGGUGGCCACCGGUCACUACUCGCAGCCGAUGCUCCCGAGGGACAUCGAGGGCAUGGGGGAGUGGAGGCGCCGGCAGCUGCACAGCCACUCGUACCGGACGCCGGAGCCGUUCCGCGGCGAGACUGUGGUGGUGGUCGGGUGCGGGGACAGCGGCAAGGACAUCGCGCUGGACCUCUGCCGCGUCGCCAGGGAGGUGCACCUUGCCAGCAGCUCCGGGGUCGCCACGCCGGCCGUGUCGAGGAUGCUGGCCAACCACGGCGACGUGCUGCGCCUGCACCCCCGGAUCCGCCGUCUUCACGCCGACGGGCACGUGGAGUUCGUGGACGGCUCCUCCGUCGCGGCCGACACGGUCAUAUACUGUACAGGGUACACCUACUCGUUCCCGUUCCUGGACACGGGCGGGGCGGUCACCGUGAGCGACAGCGGCUAUGUGGUCGGCCCGCUGUUCGAGCACGUGUUCCCGCCGUCCCUGGCCCCGUCGCUGUCCUUCGUGGGCGUGCCGAGGAAGGUCCCGGUCCCGUGGUUCUUCGAGGUGCAGGCGCGGUGGGUGGCGCAGGUGCUGUCCGGCCGCCGCGCGCUGCCGGCGGAGGAGGAGAUGCUGCGGUCCGUGGAGGAGCACCUCCGCGCCAGGGAGGCCGCCGGAGUGCCGAGGAAGCUCACCCACAACAUCGGUGGCGUGGAACGUGAGAAGGUGUACGAGUUCGGGGAGAAGUACUCGGACUUGGCGCCGCUGGAGGAGUAG
rnacentral:rRNA from 1 species